rnacentral:lncRNA from 1 species
CAUUGUAUGCAUGUCUUAAUUUCUGAUGGCAUUUGUUUAUGGAUCCUUGAGUAGAAGAUUAAACCAAAUGAGACAUGAACCAUUUGGCAUUCAUGAACCUUUUUCGUCUGAUUUCUGUUUCAUCUGUGUAACAAAAUGUAUAGAGUCAGAAGGGUGCCCGAUACUGAAGUCUCUCUCUCUCUCUGUGUCUUAUGAGAUUUUGCACUUUGAUUUAUUAAAUUCCUACCACAUGGCAUUGCAGGAGUUGAAGCGGUUUCCAACACUUCAAACUGACAUAGCAGCUGCUGCAAAUGAAGCAUUGGAAAGAUUCCGAGAUGAGAGCAAGAAAACAGUUCUACGGUUGGUGGAUAUGGAAUCUAGCUAUCUAACAGUUGAAUUUUUCCGGAAACUUCAUCUUGAGCCAGAGAAGGCUCAAAAUUCCUCAGGCCCAAAUGCAGACCGUUAUUCUGAUAAUCAUUUCAGAAGAAUUGGUAUAUAAUAUUUUUCUUUCUUGAUUACAAUAAGUUUGAUAUUUUUCACUUUUCUACUUAAAAAAAAAAAAACCUCGAGCUAAUAUACACAAGAUUCAGUGAUCUGCAUUUGCUGAUUCUAGAAUUAGUUUAAUUUGUUUCUGUUCUGUUAGGUUGAGACAAUGAUGCUGGAGGUAUAAUGUCAUCCAUCGUUAG